GACGAACGCUGGCGGCGUGCUUAACACAUGCAAGUCGAACGGAGAAUUUAUUUCGGUAAAUUCUUAGUGGCGAACGGGUGAGUAACGCGUGGGCAACCUGCCCUUCAGAUGGGGACAACAUCCCGAAAGGGGUGCUAAUACCGAAUACGAUCAUAAUUCCGCAUGGAGAUAUGAUGAAAGAUGGCCUCUAUUUAUAAGCUAUCGCUGAAGGAUGGGCCUGCGUCUGAUUAGCUAGUUGGUGGGGUAACGGCCUACCAAGGCGACGAUCAGUAGCCGGCCUGAGAGGGUGAACGGCCACACUGGGACUGAGACACGGCCCAGACUCCUACGGGAGGCAGCAGUGGGGAAUAUUGCGCAAUGGGGGAAACCCUGACGCAGCGACGCCGCGUGAGCGAUGAAGGCCUUAGGGUUGUAAAGCUCUGUUUUAGGGGACGAAUGUCUAGAUCAGUAAUAUGGGUUUAGAAUGACGGUACCCUAAGAGGAAGUCCCGGCUAACUACGUGCCAGCAGCCGCGGUAAGACGUAGGGGGCGAGCGUUGUCCGGAAUUACUGGGCGUAAAGAGCACGUAGGCGGGAACUUAAGUCAGGUGUGAAAGACCGAGGCUCAACCUCGGGGUGGCACUUGAAACUGGGUUUCUUGAGGGCAGGAGAGGAAAGCAGAAUUCCUGGUGUAGCGGUGAAAUGCGUAGAAAUCAGGAGGAAUACCAGUGGCGAAGGCGGCUUUCUGGACUGACCCUGACGCUGAGGUGCGAAAGCGUGGGUAGCAAACAGGAUUAGAUACCCUGGUAGUCCACGCCGUAAACGAUGGAUACUAGGUGUGGGAGGUAUCGACCCCUUCCGUGCCGCAGCUAACGCAAUAAGUAUCCCGCCUGGGGAGUACGGUCGCAAGGCUG
rnacentral:rRNA from 1 species